rnacentral:tRNA from 1 species
CGCAGGAUAGAGUAGUUGGUAGCUUGUCGGGCUUAGAUUUUUAUCAAUAAAGAGUCGAAGGUCGUAGUUUUUAUCAAGUCCUACUCCCGCAACCA